rnacentral:rRNA from 1 species
GCGCAGCAGUCGAGAAUCUUCCCCAAUGGACGAAAGUCUGAGGGAGCGACGCCGCGUGAAUGAAGAAGCCCUUCGGGGUGUAAAAUUCUUUUCUUUAGGAAAAUUCGUGACGGUACUAAAGGAAUAAGGGGCCGGCCAAACUCGUCGCCAGCAGCGGGCGGUAAUACGAGUGCCCCGAGCGUUAUCCGGAAUUACUGGGCGUAAAGCGCUAAAAGGCGGUUUGAUAAGUCAGACGUCUAAUCUCCGGAGCUCAACUCGGAGCCGGUGUCUGAAACUGUCUAACUUGAGGACGGAAGAGGCAAGCGGGAAUGGCUGGUGUAGCAGUAAAAUGCGUUAAUAUCAGCUGGAACA